GACGAACGCUGGCGGCGUGCUUAACACAUGCAAGUCGAACGGAAAGGCCCUGCUUUUGUGGGGUGCUCGAGUGGCGAACGGGUGAGUAACACGUGAGUAACCUGCCCUUGACUUUGGGAUAACUUCAGGAAACUGGGGCUAAUACCGGAUAGGAGCUCCUGCUGCAUGGUGGGGGUUGGAAAGUUUCGGCGGUUGGGGAUGGACUCGCGGCUUAUCGGCUUGUUGGUUGGGUAGUGGCUUACCAAGGCUUUGACGGGUAGCCGGCCUGUGAGGGUGACCGGCCACAUUGGGACUGAGAUACGGCCCAGACUCCUACGGGAGGCAGCAGUGGGGAAUAUUGCACAAUGGGAGGGAGCCUGAUGCAGCAACGCCGCGUGCGGGAUGACGGCCUUCGGGUUGUAAACCGCUUUCGCCUGUGACGAAGCGUGAGUGACGGUAAUGGGUAAAGAAGCACCGGCUAACUACGUG
rnacentral:rRNA from 1 species